UCAAAUGUGCUAACUAUUCAAACAAGAAAAGAAAAAAUGGUAGCUACCUUAUAUCCCAACAUAAAAAAUAGCAGGGUUAAAGGGGCACAUUACUCUCACGAUCUUGCAAUCUCACUAGAGUAGGAAGACAAUGACGAAAAAUGCGCCAUAAAAUAUUAUUUAUUUUUUUGGGAAACUCGCAAAUGCCAAAUGAAAUGCCAUGAGCCUUCCAUUUUUUUUAUCUCAUAAAUGUUAUUGAGAUCUUCGAAGAUUGAAGGGAACAAAUGAGUGCUCAUAAUUUUUGACACAGUAGCUGAUGUAAAUAAAUUGGAGAUAAAUCGAAUGUUCUAAGUCUUACAAUGGGGAUUGAUGAUUUCAACAACUUUCAAAUGAUUCAAGUGCAUGCUCAUAUGGUUUGAUUGAGCAAU
rnacentral:lncRNA from 1 species